rnacentral:lncRNA from 1 species
UGGAACCCGUUAAACAGUAAUGAUCCGGGUUCAUGCGGAAGGAGUGUGGCGAAACGAGUUCACGUGGCAUAGAGCUGCUUGAUUAUUAUAAUAUAUUUUUUUCUAGGCCUAUAAACCUCAGCUCAUGAACUCCUUUUAAUCCGCUGAUGCGGAUGCUCUUAGUCAGUUUGGUGCAAAAGAACGUGCAAGUAGCCCGGCACCAUCAACUAGAGUGUACUCAGUGUCGGCCAUGCCCCUGUGUAGUCUCUAGCAAACGCUACCCAUCCAUGCACUUGAAAAUAUACUUUGUGAUUCAUUUAGACAUCGUUUAUUC